AAGUCGUAACAAGGUUUCCGUAGGUUGUGUAGGUUUGCCUACGUCGUUAGUCUAUUGAAUAGGCAACAUCUCUACCGUGCUAGAAAUCACCGGUUGUGGUACUAGCAGCUCAUGUAAAUGAGUUCACAGGUCAAAUAGAGGUGGCCCCCUAGAGGGUUAAGAUAUGAUCGAGCAGUAGUUUUUGUGAGCUGCCUCAGAAGUGGAACCUGCGGAAGGAUCAUUAAGAGAACAUGCCCUCACGGGUAUAUCUCCCACCCUGUGUCUACACUACUUUUGUUGCCUUGGCGGGCCUGUCUUAUGACUGCUGGCAUCUGCUGGUUUGUGCCCGCCAGAGGACCUAAACUCAUUUACCAUGUCGUCAGAGUGUCAUAUAAUAAGUUAAAACUUUCAACAACGGAUCUCUUGGUUCUGGCAUCGAUGAAGAACGCAGCGAAAUGCGAUAAGUAAUGUGAAUUGCAGAAUUCAGUGAAUCAUCGAAUCUUUGAACGCACAUUGCACCCUCUGGUAUUCCGGGGGGUAUGCCUGUUCGAGCGUCAUUGCAACCCCCAAGCACUGCUUGGUAUUGGAUGUCACCGCUGUGGUGUGUCUCAAAAGCAUUAGCAGUGGCAGUUGGCUUCUCGCGUAGUAAUUCUCUCGCUUUGGAGUACAUCUGUCUUACCGCCGAAACUAUUCAUUUUCAAAGGUUGACCUCGGAUCAGGUAGGGAUACCCGCUGAACUUAAGCAUAUCAAUAAGCGGAGGAAAAGAAACCAACAGGGAUUGCUCAGUAACGGCGAGUGAAGCGGCAACAGCUCAAAUUUGAAAUCUGGCCUCACGGUCCGAGUUGUAAUUUGUAGAGGAUGCUUCGAGCGUGGUCUGGUCUAAGUUCCUUGGAACAGGACGUCAUAGAGGGUGAGAAUCCCGUAUGCGACUGGGUGCCUAAGCUCAUGUGAAGCUCCUUCGACGAGUCGAGUUGUUUGGGAAUGCAGCUCAAAAUGGGUGGUAAAUUUCAUCUAAAGCUAAAUAUUGGCCAGAGACCGAUAGCGCACAAGUAGAGUGAUCGAAAGAUGAAAAGCACUUUGGAAAGAGAGUUAAACAGUACGUGAAAUUGUUGAAAGGGAAGCGCUUGCAACCAGACUUGUGUGCAGUCGAUCAUCCGAUGUUUUCACCGGUGCACUCGAUUGCAUUCAGGCCAGCAUUGGUUUUGGUGGUUGGAUAAAGGCCUUGGGAAUGUAGCUUCUCUCGGGGAGUGUUAUAGCCCUUGGUGCAAUGCAGCCUACUGGGACUGAGGACCGCGCUUCGGCUAGGAUGCUGGCGUAAUGGUUGUAAGCGACC
rnacentral:rRNA from 1 species